AAGGUUUUAAGUUAAUUUGAAACUAUUAAUUUUCAAAAUUAAAAAUAAAAAUAUAAAUCUUA
rnacentral:tRNA from 1 species